AGCCAUAUAGCUGAUUGGAUGCAUGUUAGAGCCACGACUAGGAUUAUCGACUUGUCCAGAGAAAAAUACAAAGUCUUUAAAUAGAAGCAAAACUAAAGGAAUAAGGGUCGAGUACCGAUAAAUCAAACAAACCAAGCCCAACGAUUGCUCAAAUGCACCAUUUUAUCUUUUUUAGCAUGUAUUUUUACAGUUUUCAAUGUUUUCCAUUAGAAUCGUUCUGAGUUCGUGGGCAAUUCCUACUUCAAUCGUUCAUUUCAUAUAUCAAGAGUGAGGAGAUAUGAGAUAAUGAGAGCACAUAUCGACAUGAUCGAUUCAAAUGAUAGUAGAUAAAUCAACAGCAGUACGGUACCGUUUCCGAUUUGGUCCCUUCCGACAGUCGUCGGUCAGCAGGCGGUAUUGUCCAUUUAGUUUGGUUACUGAACCGAGGCCAGCCCCACAUUAAUCAAUUAUUAUUGAAGUUUAACUUUUCAAUACAAAAAAUAAAUAAAUAAAAAUUCAACAUGUAACUUUUGGGAAAAUAUAUUUCAGUUGGGCUGUUGUAUCCUAGAGGGACAAGUCAAAAUAUAUUGAUGCAUUGGUUCGUGAGUUUUGCCAAAUAAUAAUCGGCUUGAAUCUCCUGAAAAAAAAAAAUGAAAAAAAAAAGCGUGAAAUUCAUGUCUCAAUCUGAUUGGCUACGUGCUUCUGGGAAGACAAAAUAUUUUUAUUUUCUUAAUUCUAAUUUUUCCGACCACGUGAUAGUUA
rnacentral:lncRNA from 1 species